rnacentral:rRNA from 1 species
CAGGAUGAACGCUGGCGGCGUGCCUAACACAUGCAAGUCGAGCGGAGAGGCUGCAGAGAUUCAAUCGAUGAUCUGCUUCUUCUUAGCGGCGGAUGGGUGAGUAACACGUGGGUAACCUGCCCUGCACUGGGGAAUAACAGUUGGAAACGACUGUUAAUACCGCAUAUGCGCACGGGACCGCAUGGUCCUGGGCGGAAAGAUUUAUCGGUGCAGGAUGGGCCCGCGUCGGAUUAACUUGUUGGUGAGGUAAUGGCCCACCAAGGUGAUGAUCCGUAGCCGACCUGGGAGGGUGACCGGCCACAUUGGGACUGAGACACGGCCCAAACUCCUACGGGAGGCAGCAGUGGGGGAUAUUGCACAAUGGGCGCAAGCCUGAUGCAGCGACGCCGCGUGAAGGAAGACGUAUUUCGGUAUGUAAACUUCUAUCAGCGGGGAAGAAGAUGACGGUACCCGACUAAGAAGCCCCGGCUAAUUACGUGCCAGCCGCCGC